rnacentral:rRNA from 1 species
GUCUAUGGCCAUAUCACUCUGAACGUGUCUGAUCUCGGAAGCUAAGCAGGGUUGGGUCUGGUUAGUACUUGGAUGGGCGAAGUUCCACUGUAGAGA